CAAUAGCGUAUAUUAAAGUUGUUGCAGUUAAAAAGCUCGUAGUUGGAUUUGUGGCGUACGGUGUGUUCCGGGCACUUGUUGUCUGAGUAACCUGCUGUUGCCAUCCUUGGGUGGAACCUGUGUGGCAUUAGGUUGUCGUGCAGGGGAUGCCCAUCAUUUACUGUGAAAAAAUUAGAGUGUUCAAAGCAGGCUUAUGCCGUUGAAUAUAUUAGCAUGGAAUAACGAGAUAGGACUUUUUUGCUAUUUUGUUGGUUUGCGCAAAGAGGUAAUGAUUAAUAGGGACAGUUGGGGGUAUUCGUAUUCCAUUGUCAGAGGUGAAAUUCUUGGAUUUCUGGAAGACGAACUACUGCGAAAGCAUUUACCAAGGAUGUUUUCAUUAA
rnacentral:rRNA from 1 species